rnacentral:tRNA from 1 species
GGGGAAGUGGCGCAAUGGUUAGCGCACAAGCCUGUCGAGCUUGGGGUUGCGGGUUCGAGUCCCGUCUUCCUCGCCA